UGAAAAACCAGUUCCUGUAUGAUCAUCGAAGUUAAGCAACACCGAGCCCGGUCAGUACCUAGAUAGGUGACCACUUAGGAAUACCAGAUGCUGUAA